ACAGAAACAGACACAACCAUGUUGGCAGUCACUGCAAUGAUGAGGCAGACACAGGGGGCUGUGGAAACUCAAGAGGGGCCAUUAUAGUGGCAUCAGGGAAGGCUUCCUGGAGGAGGUGUUGCCUCCAGUGGGUUUUGACGUGCAGCAGGAAUCACCCAGCCGGAGAUCAGGGCAGGCACUGCAGGCAGCAUGCUCAAAGGCACGAAGGAGUGAGGUGGUGGGGGAGCAGCGGAAGUUCCUAGCGCAGCGUGGGGGUGCUCUGUGCACAGAUAAGUUGCGGGCCGCGGGAAACAGGACCCUGGGGGGCCCCCUAGAGCCUCGCGGAGCGGCUUGCAGAGGAGCCUCGGGGCCACGGCGUGUGUGCAGCGACACCUGGCGGUGGCAUGCGGAACUGCGGACGGCUGCGCAGGAGCGGACAGCGGAGAGGCGGUACUGACCGGUGCGAGGCGGUGCUGACCGGUGCGGGCCGGUGCGGGCCAGUGCAGGCCAGGCCCGGCCGGGGCGAGGCAGGUGGCCAGGUCCGAGGACCGCGUCGCACAGCAGCUUUCAGGACCUGGAGAGAAAUCGAGAUGAAGAAGGGAAGUCACUUGCUUCAUGGCCAGGGAAGGGCUCCAGCAAGACAUGGGCUCCUGAAAGUGACAGUGUGUGAAGGCCCGGAGAGGCACAGGACCUGCUGGAGGAUGCCAAAGUAAACUUGGUGGCCACAUGUCAAAGACGGAGAUGCACAAAAUGGGAGGAACCUAGAUCCCUGAAUGACUUUGUGGAGCUGAGCCCCUAGGCCACCCUGCAUUGGAUGUGAAAUGAGUGAGA
rnacentral:lncRNA from 10 species